GCUCGCCAGAGAAUUACAAGCGAAAGCGCAAAACCCAAAGGACUUGACGGUGUCCCACAUCGCCCUAGAGGAGCCUGUCCUAUAAUCGAUACUCCACGUUCUACCUCGCCCCCUCUAGUAUUCCAGCCUAUAUACCGCCGUCGCUCAGCCUGCCUAAUGAUAGAUUUUAAAGCUGACAAAACUGUAUAACACAAACACGUCAGGUCAAGGUGUAGCUAAUGAGCGGGUCAGAGAUGGGCUACAUUUCCCAUAAUUGGAAACCACUAAACACUCAAUGAAAAUAAGCCCUAAGGUGGAUUUAGCAGUAAGCGCGGAUAAGAUACGCCACACUGAA
rnacentral:rRNA from 1 species